rnacentral:rRNA from 1 species
GAAGGGGGCUAGCGUUGUUCGGAAUUACUGGGCGUAAAGCGCACGUAGGCGGAUUGUUAAGUCAGAGGUGAAAUCCCGGAGCUCAACUUCGGAACUGCCUUUGAUACUGGCAAUCUCGAGUCCGGAAGAGGUUAGUGGAACUCUAGGUGUAGGGGUGAAAUCCGUUGAUAUCUAGGGGAACACCAAAAGCGAAGGCAGCAGACUGGCGCACUCCUGACGCUGAGACACGAAAGCGUGGGUAGCGAACGGGAUUAGAUACCCCGGUAGUCCACGCCCUAAACACUGUCCGCUAGUUCUUGGGAGUAUCGACCCUCUCGGGGACGAAGCUAACGCGUUAAGCGGACCGCCUGGGUAGUACGAUCGCAAGAUUA